UGGGGAAUAUUGGGGCAAUGGGCGAAAGCCUGACCCAGCGACGCCGCGUGAAGGAAGAAGGUCUUUGGAUUGUAAACUUCUGUUAUGGGGGACGAACACAUGACGGUACCCCAUGAGAAAGCCACGGCUAACUACGUGCCAGCAGCCGCGGUAAUACGUAGGUGGCGAGCGUUAUCCGGAUUUACUGGGUGUAAAGGGUGUGUAGGCGGGACUGCAAGUCAGAUGUGAAAGCUAUGGGCUCAACUCAUAGCUUGCAUUUGAAACUGUGGUUCUUGAGGGUCGGAGAGGUAAUCGGAAUUCCUAGUGUAGCGGUGAAAUGCGUAGAUAUUAGGAAGAACACCAGUGGCGAAGGCGGAUUACUGGACGACAACUGACGGUGAGGCGCGAAAGCGUGGGGAGCAAACAGGAUUAGAUACCCUGGUAGU
rnacentral:rRNA from 1 species